CUGUUAUAAAUUGCUGCCUUUUAGCUGAGAUUUGUAGCUCCCAGGGAAAGUAUGGUAAUUUCCAUGGAAUGUGUUGGUGUAAAUCUUUGCAGUGGUGUGCUUUAUCCUCAGGUUCCUCAGAGUGGGAUACUUUCUGAUAGGGGGGGCACAAAGUUGCACUGCUUUGAAUUUAAAUAGAAACUGUGUCUUAGUUGUUUGUUUUUUUUUUUAAUGAACCAAAAAGUUACAGGGAUUUUAUCAACAGAUAGGCUGUGAAGCAGAAAAGAGGACUUUUGACAAAGAGUGGCAUCUCUGGGGACAAGUCACUACCUCAGUGGUAGAAGGAUGCUUUUAUUCAGGGAAGGGCAUGUUGAUGACGAGACUUCCUCCAGAACCUCACCUGUUUUUUAGAGCUUCCAAUAGUUUGUGCUGAAACUGAAAGGCAGCUCCUGGCAAUUAUUUGAAAUUCUUGCUACUGUAUGAAAAAACUUCAGCAAAACUGAGGGCGUGGAGAACAGUUCAACAGCAGAUUGAAUACAGGGUAAAUGUAACUGUACGACUGUCAUCAGCAACCUAGGGCACUGAGUCCUGUACCAAGAAUUUUAAGCAGCAAUGGAAUAAACAAUAAAAUGUCC